UUUAUGCUGUCAUGAUCAUCACACAGCUUUAUGCCAGUUCUGCUUCAUUAAAUUAUUGAUAGAGAGAGCUGAAAUAUGUCUGAGCCUAGU